GACAGAAGGAGAAGCAAGCUCCUCCCAGGGAGCCCGAUGCAAGACUUGAUCCCUGGACUGGGAUCAUGCCCUGAGCCAAAGGCAGAUGCUAAACCACUGAGCCACCCGGGCAUCCCUAUAUAUCUGUUUUUGUGCAGAAGGAGAAACUGAGGAUUGGAGAGUGUGUCUUGCUCAAGAUCACUGAGCUGCAGCUGUGAAUACAUUUCUUGUUUGUGGCCAUGACUUCUAUAUUCAGUACUUCCAAAGAUCCUCCCAGUUGCUGAGGACCAUUCUACACUCCUGCAUUAAUAGCCCUCAGGCUGACCUGGGUCUGUGGCUGUUUUCCUGGCCAGUGCCUGUGAUUUGAAUGAUUGGCAAGCUCUGUAACUGAGUUCUUGGGAAAACAAAUGAUCUCAUAGAUGGAGCUGCUCCACGUUAGGAAGUGCAAGAAUUAUGAAAUGCAGUCACAGCAAGGGAAAGAAGUUCUUUUGCAUUUGGAUGGCGACCUUUUGUUUCUAAGGUUUUUGGCAGCACCUCUAAUCAUGUGAUAUGCUUGAGGCUACCAGGAAUGAAUGAGAGCUCUUGUUGUUCCAUAUCCCUGCCAGUAUUUGCUGUUGUCAGUGCUCUGGAUUUUGGCCAUUUUAAUAGAAGACACACUGAAUGUUUGAUCUCUGCUUCAUCUUGUUGCCAAAGUCCAUUACUGAGCAGGCAGGAUGGCAUUGUUUGAAGUCUACAAAACAGCCAGCAGAAGACAGAAAGACUGGCUUUUAAUUGCUGGAAAGCAAGAGAAAAAACUUCGGGUCAUCUGGGUACACAGACUGGGAAUUCCAACAUGCCUCAGUAUCAGGCAAAAUGUAAGGGCUUCAAUUUGGCUCAUUCAGGGUUAGUGCAGAUUAUCUUUGACAUUUACUGGAUGGGGAUGUUUUUGCCACAGGAAUGAAGUGUUUUCCAGUUUAUUUUAAACUGAGAACUCUCAAUUCACUGUGAUAGUUGGUUUGGCAGAGUUAGUUGCCUUUAAAAACUCCUCCAUCUUGAAUGAAACUUAAAAUGACUCUGAGCCCGGGCGAAGAAGGAAAACUUGAUGAAGUAACCCCUGGGCACUGCUGCCCUAUGAGUCAUAACUGAGGAAAAGCAUCAAGGGCUUUUGUCACUUCAUGUCUCAAAGACGUUGGAUGAUGUGGGGAAUGGACUCCAAGCGGUCAUCUGGUCACACCCAUGGCUUACUCCCUGACUUGUGGACUGCUUCUCAUGUUACUUAACUAAGGCUACAGAGAAACUGCUUCAGUAUAUACCACCCUCAGCACCUGCAUGAUCUGUAUACACAUAUGUAUGUUGGAAAGGACAAUGAACCAAAAGAAUAAAGAUAAAAUUAGGUAUUUUUACUAAAGGUUAGAAGAUUUUAAAACAAAGAAAGAAAGUAGUGUAACUCAAAUGAAUUGCCAGGGGAAAGGCCAAGUUCAUGAAAGAAACAUAUCAUGGUUUCGCCUGCAUUUCUUUUUGCCUCUGGACAUGUAAGUAUGAGUUAAUAAGCUUAUAAUGUGCACUAUAGAAUAUCAGGCUCUUUUCAAAGACUUGUUAUCUAAAGUGCUUACAUUAUUGGAUUCAGUUAUAUGUAUGCUUAUUUCCUGAUGACAAAUCUGGACCCAGAGAAUAUUUCCAAUUACAUCUAUUGUUUCAUUAUGAAUAUCAUAAUAAUAAUUUUUCUAUGAUUUAUUCUCUAGAAUACUGGCAAUAAAAAGACACUAAUUCUUAGAUUAUUAUGUUACCCUUCCCUAUCAAGAAAACUUUCAUAACACAAAUUAAGAGCAGCAUCAAAAAAAACAGGUCUCAUAUCUAGCAUUUUGGUCCUCUGAAAUGAGAUAAUUUUUUAGAACACAAUAGACACUUAAGUUUAGGUCCCUGUGGGAUUGAAUUUGAUUUUGAUCUUCAAAUCAAGCAUUAAAUAUUUUGCUAAUUGAUCAAAAUUACAUGUAAUCUAUAUAUAAACUAGAGAAAGAUCUGUUUUCUUUUUAAAACACAGCUUACCCCGCUGUUGGACAAGAGUUUCUAACCUAAGGCUGCAAAUUCCUUGAAAUGUGCAAACGUGUGUGUGUGUGUAUGUGUGUGUGUGUGUGUGUGUGUGUGUGUGAAAGAGAGAGGGAGAGGUAUUGUAUGUUGAUAUAAUUUUUUUUUCCUGGGGCAAGGUGUAUAGUUUUCAUCAAUUCUCGAAAAGGUCCAUGAUUAAGGAUCCUUACCCAAAUGUGAGGAUACAUUUUUAGAUAAGUGAUUUGGUUAUGAGCAUUUUUCUGCAGAUUGAAGCUGGUUGUGUCAUAUUUCUGAUAAUCUUUUUAAAAACAUUUAUCAUCAACAAUCUUAAUGUUUGAGAUGUUAAAAUGUAACAUUCUGGUAGUGUUUGGAAAAGAAGUGCCCAAAGACAGCUUUUGGGAGCUCCACAGGAUUUUACAAUAUUCUGAAACUAUGGUCUGUUUUCCUGAGGCAUUAAUAACCAAAAUAUGUGGCCCUAUUUGACUUGACAUCUUAGACUUAAAACUCACUUGUUUGAUUUUACUUUGCCAUUUGCCACGUGUUCAUAUUCAUAGCUCUCCGAUAGUAUCUAAAAUUAUGAAAUUCAAUUUUGAGGUGAUUGGAAUUUUGGAGAGCAUUCAAAUAAAUUCCCUCCCUCCCUCCAUCCCCUCUUUCCUUCCUUCCUUCUUGUUGUUUUAUUCUUUGUACUUUUUUCAGUACUCUAAAAACUGAAUGUGUUUUGCAAAGCUGUGCAAUAUUAUAAAUAAUAGUAACAAAACA